ACCAGCUGUUUGUAACAUAAAAAUAAAAUGGAUUAUGGAUCCUUUUAUUUCUAUAGUUUAUAGCUGACUUUACCAGCUGACUUCUCUAUCUGUUAAAACAGGUGACGUCCCUUACGUUCUAAAACCAGGCUCUGCGACUUGAACAGCUGAGGCGCAGCGAAACCAUCAGCUGGCUGGAGUCGAGCUGAGAUGGGCCGUUGAGGAUUUCAAAAU